AUUGAACGCUGGCGGCAUGCUUUACACAUGCAAGUCGAACGGCAGCGCGGGCUUCGGCCUGGCGGCGAGUGGCGAACGGGUGAGUAAUACAUCGGAACGUGCCCAGUAGUGGGGGAUAGCUCGGCGAAAGCCGGAUUAAUACCGCAUACGACCUGAGGGUGAAAGCGGGGGAUCUUCGGCCCUCGCGCUAUUGGAGCGGCCGAUGGCAGAUUAGCUAGUUGGUGGGGUAAAGGCCUACCAAGGCGACGAUCUGUAGCUGGUCUGAGAGGACGACCAGCCACACUGGGACUGAGACACGGCCCAGACUCCUACGGGAGGCAGCAGUGGGGAAUUUUGGACAAUGGGCGAAAGCCUGAUCCAGCAAUGCCGCGUGUGUGAUGAAGGCCUUCGGGUUGUAAAGCACUUUUGGCGGGAACGAAAAGGACUGUGCCAAUACCACGGUUCGAUGACGGUACCCGCAGAAUAAGCACCGGCUAACUACGUG
rnacentral:rRNA from 1 species